rnacentral:lncRNA from 1 species
CCUGGAGCUAGCCCCUGUCCUCAGGGUCACCCCAGAUGAACAUGGACAAGCCAGCGUGAUGGACACUGACCUGGGGAGAGAUGGCACCUGACUCAGCUCGGGAGUAGGGGUUGACAAAGGCAGCUGGAGUAGGGAAAGGUAGCCAGGCCGGGACAACUGCCUGGGAAAAGCUCGGAGGAUUGGGACACACUGUUUCCAUGAGGUUGGAGCAUCGGUCUGAGGGAGUCUGAUGGGCACUGAGGUCAAGGGUCCCUGGGGAGUGACAGGACUCUCAGAUCUGUUGGGAGCAAAGUUCUUGUAGAGUCCCAUCUGGGCUCUGGGGACCCUCAGAUCACUCUGCCAUUUUGUCUCGACUUCAGCCCAGCACCUGCGCCAAUCCAGCUUCGGCCACCAUCUCCAUCCCUGUGGAGGGGGAACUUGGUCCCCCUCACCCUGCAGGCUGGCGCCAAGGUUUAUGAGCCAGCCUCUGAGAGCCACAUGGGUGGAAAAAGUUACCCGGUUCUAAAUCAGCCAGCCUUUGGGUGAUCUCAUCCCCUUCCCAAUAUAGUCGCAGUCCCCUCCCCCACUGGCUGGACCCUGGCCAAUGGGGUAAGUCACGAGGGAGCUGGUGGAGGGGUGUGUGUGAGGGCUGGGGAAGGAUUUGAACUUGGGGUCACACUAUACAUUCUGUUUUAUAAUCUGAUCUCCCACCCCUCCCCCUCAUUUACUGUAUUUACACUUAGCAGUUUCCUGUCAAAUAAUAAAGAUCUUCC